UUGAAGCCCCCUAAUUCCUAUCGCUCAAACUCACCAUCUCCCUCUCUCUUCUCGUUUUAGGCUUUUAGCCUUUUCAAGCUUUCUAUAACUCUCUAAGACUAUCACUCUCCCUCUCUUCCUCCCCCAUUCUUUUGAGCCUCCCAAGCUCUCUCUCUCUCUCUCUCCUCUCUUUCCUUCGUUUGAGCCUAGUUCAUUCCUAUCCCUUGCUUCUAUAACGUGCUCAAUCUGCCACCAUUGCAACCCAAUCUGGAAGAGAAGAGAUGCCAAAUACACGAAAGGACUAUUUAGACUACCUAGAGGCACCACUAAGAGUCUUAGAUGGACAAUGGAACACCACUACCGGAUAGCUAAAGCAAGAAAAUGGGCAGGUCUUUCCCUAUAAUUUUUUCCUUGGGGUCUUCAACAUCUGAACUUUUAAAAUCUGAAGAAAGUUUGGAAAGAUUGUGUUUUACGUGGAUCAAUUUCAGUCUGAGGAGAAUAAUAACGAUGGUGCCAAGGCGUCUCAUAAUCAAACACUCAGAGAAUAGAUUUCAUUAGAAGAAAUUUUAAUAUUUUUAAAUACUUUAGCAUUUCGUUAUUUAAGUGCUGUUUCUUUUACUUGAACUUCUUAUAUGACAAAUUUAGUGUUAUGAACUUAUUAUCAUUUAGAAACCAACAAAUAUAUAUUUAUGUGAUGGAUGACUAUGAUUUUGAUUUGCUGAGUGAAUGAA